AGAGUUUGAUCCUGGCUCAGGAUUAAUGCUAGCUGUGCGCCUAACACAUGCAAGUCGAACGAGAUCACGCAGUAAGCUUGCUUAUAGCGUGUGACAGUGGCAGACGGGUGAGUAACACGUCGGAAUCUGCCCCUUAUUCAGGGAUAAGCUCGAGAAAUCGGGUCUAAUACCGGAUGGUCCCGCAAGGGUAAAGCUUCGGCGAUAAGGGAAGAGCCUGCGUCCUAUCAGCUUGUUGGCGGGGUAAUAGCCCACCAAGGCAAUGACGGGUAGCUGGUCUGAGAGGACGACCAGUCACAAUGGAACUGAGACACGGUCCAUACUCCUACGGGAGGCAGCAGUGAGGAAUUUUCCGCAAUGGCCUAUUGGCUGACGGAGCGACACAGUGUGAAGGAUGAAGGUUUUCGGAUCGUAAACUUCUUUUCUGAGGGAAUAAAGUUUGAAGUUACCUCAGGAAUAAGCACCGGCUAACUACGUGCCAGCAGCCACGGUAAUACGAGAGAUGCUAGCGUAAUCCUGAAUUUACAGGGCGUAAAGCGUCCGCAGACGUUCUGAUAAGUCUAUGGUAAAAUCUAUGUGCCCAACCCGGAAAUCGUCAAGGAAACUGUAAGAAUAGAGGAAAGUAGAGGGAAGUGGAAUUCUCGGUGUAGGGGUUAAAUCCGUUGAUAUCGAGAGGAACACCAAAAGCGAAAGCAGCUUCCUGGACUUUACCUGACGUUCAUGGACGAAAGCGUGGGGAGCGAAAAGGAUUAGAUACCCUUGUAGUCCACGCCAUAAACUAUGGAUACUCGGUUUUUCAUUUAUCUUUUGAUAUUUGAAGAGCCUAAGCUAACGCGAUAAGUAUCCCGCCUGGGUAGUACGGUCGCAAGAUUAAAACUCAAAGGAAUAGACGGGGAUCUGCACAAGCAGUGGAUCAUCUGGUUUAAUUAGACGUUAAACGGGGAACCUUACCACGAUUUGAAUUCUCAGCGAAUCCAAGCCGGAAACGGCAGGAGUGCUUCGGCCGCUGAAGACAGGCGCUGCAUGGUUGUCGUCAGCUCGUGCCCUGAGGUGUUCGGUUAAGUCUGCAAACGAGCGCAACCCAUUCCUUGAUUUGUAUUUUUAUCAGGGGACUGCCUUGGUCAACAGGGAGGAAGGCGUGGAUGACGUCAAAUCAGCAUGGCCCUUACAUCGUGGGCUACACAGAUGAUACAAUGGUCGGUACAAAGGGAAGCGAAGCCGCGAGGUGGAGCAAAUCCUGAUAAAGCCGAUCUCAAUUCGGAUUGCAGUCUGCAACUCGACUGCAUGAAGCCGGAAUUGCUAGUAAUCGUGGAUCAGACAUGCCACGGUGAAUAUGUUCUCAGAUCUUGUACACACCGCCCGUC
rnacentral:rRNA from 1 species